ACAAUUACUGCAAUAGCUAUUCACUUGUCAUGUCAAUUGUCAUGUGUCCCUAUGUGGGAUUAGUCUAGUAACCUAUAGUUGAAUAUUGACUUGUGUGCUUAAACAUGUUUUGAAACCACCAUACACAACUUAUAUGGAGCAAUCACAAUUAUAAUUAUAACUAUAUAUAUAUGCUUUGAACAAUUUUCUGAAAAGUAACACUACACUUAUUACACUUAUUAUCUAUUUGUAUCAUCUCUCUAAUACAGGUAGGACUCACCCAUACAUGUGAGUUGUAUCUUUAUUAGAGAAAGAUGGUACAAAUAUAUAGUAAGAGUAAUAUUUUUGUUUUUUGGAUGGAUAAUUUGGGCAUAUAAAUUUUGUCAACAUAUGAUGUUUCUUCUCUCUCUAUUAUUAGGAACAUAUAAAUAUGCUUAUCUUUGGCUUCGUACACUUUCAAUUUUCCUUUUUCCUUUACUGACAAAAAAAGAAGGGUUAAACUAUGUUUACUACUCUCAUUUCGUGAUUUUCAACAUUUAGUACAUCAAGUUUUUUUCAUCCCAGAGUCAUACCUAAAGUGUUAAUUUUGGGACAGUCUCAUACAUCCGUUAGUCAAACUGUUAGUUCUCCCGUUAAGUGAUGACGUGACGCCCAGAUGGACAA
rnacentral:lncRNA from 1 species